GCUAAUUUACCAUAUUAACUUAUUUUUUAAAAAAAACAACAUAAAUUCAGUAUAACCUGAAACUACCAACUGAGCCAAGUCAUAAGAAAAGUGUUCACUUCACAUGGCAAGAAAGCCGAACUGCUGAAGUUGCCCCCGACUGGCUUUUAGAAAUAAUGUAGAUUUAAGGUACUUCUGUAUGGACCCAGAAGCUACAUCCAGCUUUUUUAAAUGCAGUUUAAGAGUCCAGCCCAGCUAGAAAGAAAUAAAAAGACAUUAAUUUAAGGUGACUAAUAAAAAGUUAAUUUAAGAUGCAUCAGCAAAGCUUCUUCUUCUGCUUUUACAUGGAAAAUAGUUCCUAUUAUAUUUUAUUCAAGUCCUCUUUGAUAGAAGUUGUGGCAUUGUAGUGUAGUGCCUCCUGGAUGACCACACGGGGCCUCGCCUUCUCCCUUUGAUGAUGAAAUUUACAUCACUUAAACCUUUUAGCUGCUUGUCUUUAGCAUCGUGUUUUGGGCCGCGUACAAUUCACCACUUUAUGCCAGCAACAACGAGACUUUUUACAGACAAUCAGAUUGAGCCACGAAGACAUUCAAGAGGGAAUUAGCAUUGUCAGCGCCAUCGACACAAUGUUAAAAUUCUUGUUUGCUGUUUUGUAAAAUGGGCUGUGUGGUGUUUAGAUUUACCUUGUUACUCAGUAAAACAGUGAACCUGCCACAAGUGAAUGGAAAGAGUUUAAAAAUAUAGUAUAAGAAUAAGAUGUGUUUAUAUUUGUGUUUAUUUAUUAGUUUUUUUAAAUCAUGUCUAAAUUUUAUUUUGUGUAAAGGGACAACACUGGUAAAUGUACAGGUUGUUCAUUUUAGCAGGAAGACAUGUGUUCCCUCUUCCAUACUGUUUUUUUUUUUUAAAGAAUGACGAUGAUGCAAGUCCAGAUAUUUGACUGACCACUGGUGGGUCCAUUGAGACGCUGUUAUUUUGAACCUUUACUGUUAGAAAAUACUAGUAAGACAAUGGAGAGAGCCUGAAGUGGUUAUAACCUCAACUUAUGAUCAAGAAUCGGUAGAUUAAAGGUCGUCACUGGCACGAGACUCUGUUGCUUAUCUGUUGAUGUAAUUGUGGAGAGUUGAGACUUUAACAUUGAAAUAAGAUAAAACAAUUAAAAUAUCAAUUUUCUUACUGUCAUUAAUCCCUGUUUGUAGUUGUUACAGAAAUGUGCACAUUUUUCACAAUAUAUCCCAGGAGGCACUUUUCAUUUCAUGGGAAAAAUCCACCAUCGAUGUAAAAGUUUUGGCACUCUUGGCUUUCCAUACAUAUUUGGAUCCACAUACUCAGGUUUUUGUGAACAGGUACAGUUGGACAAACUUCUUUUAUCAUUACUUCCUUGAGUGUUUUGUGGUAUGUUAAUCUUUUUCUCUUUUUUUGCUGUUGCUUCUGUGUAUGUGUGUUUACAAAUCCAUCAAAUACUUUUUCAUUUGUAGUUAAUUAGAGAUGAUUUAAGACACCACAUGCUACAUGAGAGAAAUUCCAUCAUAAGCAUUUUUUGUUUUUAGGCACAUCAAAUAUGAAUUAUAAUUUUUUUUACAUGCUUUUUAUCUCCAAGGGAGAGUUGUGUCUUUGUGGAUUUUUAAUUUUUAACAUUUUUUGAGUUUUGCAAAAAUGAGGGAAACUGGGACUAAUUUUGUAAUCUGCAGCUCAAUUUUUGCUGGAUUUCACUUAUUUUUCCUUUUAGUGUCCUAAAAUUUUAUUCCAGAAAGAUUAAAUAUGAUGUUUUAGGGAAUUAAAGACAUAGAGAUUGUCGUUGUGAAGGUUAUGCUAUUUUCUGACUUGAGCUGAGUUUUACAAGAUGUUCUCAUGUUUUAUUUUUGUCUUUUUUCUUCUUUCUUUUGUCAUCUUUUAUUUUUGUAGUGUAAAAUAAUAGUAAAAUAUCAGGUAACAGCUUUUACAGAAUGUAUUUUUUCGCAUUGUGAAUGAAACUGAUGCCGGCUCCAUUCACGUCCAUGUCUUCAGAGACCAAUGGAGGAAGAUUCGUGCAGGAAUAACAUAAACUAGAACCACUUUUAGAUAUCAUAAACAAUAUGCUGUAGAUUUAAUAAUAAGUUUAAGUCAUCCAGUACUUGAAAGAAACUAUAUCUACUCUGUAU
ensembl:lncRNA